rnacentral:rRNA from 1 species
AGUGAACGCUGGCGGUAGGCCUAACACAUGCAAGUCGAACGGCAGCACAGUAAGAGCUUGCUCUUACGGGUGGCGAGUGGCGGACGGGUGAGGAAUACAUCGGAAUCUACUUUUUCGUGGGGGAUAACGUAGGGAAACUUACGCUAAUACCGCAUACGACCUACGGGUGAAAGCAGGGGAUCUUCGGACCUUGCGCGAUUGAAUGAGCCGAUGUCGGAUUAGCUAGUUGGCGGGGUAAAGGCCCACCAAGGCGACGAUCCGUAGCUGGUCUGAGAGGAUGGUUCGCCACACGGUAACUGAGACUCGUUCCAGACUCCUACGGUAGGCAGCAGUGGGGAAUAUUGGACAAUGGGCGCAAGCCUGAUCCUGCCAUACCGCGUGGGUGAUGAAGGCCUUCGGGUUGUAAAGCCCUUUUGUUGUGAAAGAAAAGCAGCUGUUUUAUACCCCGCUGUUCUGACGGUACCCAAAGAAUAAGCACCGGCUAACUUCGUG